AUGUGAUCUAAGAGUGAACUCGAUGUUGCACAUUCCAAAUUUCCAAUCCCUACCUCAUUGAUUUCUUCCUCACGGUCACGGCAUGGCACAACGGGACGUUGCAAGGUCUUGUCCAAGCAAUGCAUUUAUGCCCCCCACAACUCACAAUCACAGCUCGUCAACUUAGGUUAGUCUCAAUGGAGUUUUAUUAGAGUUUUAUAAACAUUAAAUAUAUUGAUGUGACAUUAUAUUAAUGAAGAGAAAUGAUAAGAGUUUUACGAGGGUAG
rnacentral:lncRNA from 1 species